CGCGUAGGUGGUUUCGUGUGUCGAUGGUGAAAUCCUGCAGCUCAACUGUAGAACUGCCAUCGAAACUACGGGGCUAGAGGACAGGAGGGGAGAGUGGAAUUCCUAGUGUAGCGGUGAAAUGCGUAGAUAUUAGGAGGAACGCCGGUGGCGAAAGCGACUCUCUGGACUGUUUCUGACACUGAGGUGCGAAAGCUAGGGGAGCAAACA
rnacentral:rRNA from 1 species